rnacentral:rRNA from 1 species
GAUGAACGCUGGCGGCGUGCCUAAUACAUGCAAGUCGAGCGAAUGGAUUAAGAGCUUGCUCUUAUGAAGUUAGCGGCGGACGGGUGAGUAACACGUGGGUAACCUGCCCAUAAGACUGGGAUACCUCCGGGAAACCGGGGCUAAUACCGGAUAACAUUUUGAACCGCAUGGUUCGAAAUUGAAAGGCGGCUUCGGCUGUCACUUAGGGCUGGACCCGCGUCGCAUUAGCUAGUUGGUGAGGUAACGGCUCACCAAGGCAACGAUGCGUAGCCGACCGGAGAGGGUGAUCGGCCACACUGGGACUGAGACACGGCCCAGACUCCUACGGGAGGCAGCAGUAGGGAAUCUUCCGAAAUGGACGAAAGUCUGACGGAGCAACGCCGCGUGAGUGAUGAAGGCUUUCGGGUCGUAAAACUCUGUUGUUAGGGAAGAACAAGUGCUAGUUGAAUAAGCUGGCACCUUGACGGUACCUAACCAGAAAGCCACGGCUAACUACGUGCCAGCCGCCGCCGUAA